UACGAAGGGGGGCUAGCGUUGUUCGGAAUUACUGGGCGUAAAGCGCGCGCAGGCGGUCUUCCAAGUCAGUGGUGAAAGCCCGGAGCUCAACUCCGGAACUGCCCAUUGAAACUGUUAGACUUGAGGACGAGAGAGGUGAGUGGAAUUCCCAGUGUAGAGGUGAAAUUCGUAGAUAUUGGGAAGAACACCGGUGGCGAAGG
rnacentral:rRNA from 1 species